ensembl:lncRNA
UUUGAUACCUUUCUGGAAUGUUCUCAGGGAGGAAAUCAGAAGUGUUUGAACCUGGAGUUCAUUCUUUAGAGAGCCAGGAGGAACAGAAUGAAGAGACUCCCAUCACAGAUGGCAGGUGGGAGCUGGAAGCCCAUGCAGACCAAGAGUGUGGAACUCCAACUCCUCUGGCCAGGGGAAUAAAGAUGAAAUUGUCCUCUAGUUCACCUUGGAGAAAAUGCAUCUUGAUUUUUCAGUCUGGCUUUUGCUAAACGAUGGGAACGCCCACUUGCUACACUGUUGUCUCCGCAACCAGUAACCCUGCCCAGAACACUGGCUGAAGAUAAACAUAAUGGAGGCAGCACGGAGACAGGAUAUUUCCUGGUGGAAUUCCAGGCUUGCCCUGUGUGCAACGCAAAUCCUGUGCUCAGCUGGCAAGGUUGCGAAGGUCUUUCUUCCAUGCCAGCUGCAGACCGGAGCAUCUGGACAGAUGGCAGAUAGCUCAGAGUGGACACAUCCGGCCCGUCCACCACAGAGAAUCUGUGACCUUUGAGAUGGAGUUCGUGUUCGGAUCAGAGUUGGGCUUUUGGAAGAGGAAAGGAAAACUGAAGCGGAAGGAAUGGAGCUUGCAGUCCUACGGCCUCGUUCUGAGGGAGGAGGCCGGAAGUCAGUAGCAGCAACUGGACUCCACGCCCAGCUGUCAGUCACUGCUGAUCUUUGCUGACAGGCUUUGCAGAGCUCCAAUGAAAAGCUCCAUCUUCAGAUCUCAGUUUUGCCGAAACUCACAACCCCACAGAGAAUUCAGGAGCACUUAUGGAGCACCUGGCACACAGUGUGUCCUAGAUGAGCGUGACAUCAGUGCUCUCCGCCUAAAUGAUGCAAGCAUGUACUUUGCUACUCUGUGUUUGUGAGAGAGAACUGUGCUCCUAUUUGAGGCUGCGAGUUCCUUUCUCUCUCUCUCGCUCUCCGUCUUUCUGCAGCUCUGUUUCAUUGUAUUUAAAACAUAGUUUAGAGAAGAUUUGAAGAAACACAUAGGCACUUAGAACAAAGGUAUGAAAUGACAAGGAAUAAUUGUGUAGUUUCCGAAAUAUUUAAAAUAGAACUUGUGUUUUUAAAGUAUAAUCCCACAGCAUGAGAAUCAUGACACCUGAAAUUCAGAAGGAACCCUUUCUAGUUCACAGAGGAGCAGAGAGGGCCGUUGUGUGCUGCAGGGAGGGCACAGGUGAGCCGCAGGGACCCCUAGACCCAGCCAUGCUGGGGCGGGCUGGCAGGAGGACCCUGAGGCCUCUGGCAUGGGUGGCCUCGGCUUCAGCGUGGGGAGGAGCUGCCCCAUGGGGCCUCUGUGGUGCAGGAACUCAGCAGAAGCCUCCAGGUUCUGAAGUAAGUCCCCGCUGGAGCAGUCUCUGCUUUAAAGUUCUCACUUUUGUCAGUCCACGUCUGCAGUACACAGGAUCACAUUCCUCGUGGGAAGUGGCUCGUGCACGUAAUACUCAUCGUUCUUUCUAGUCCCCUCUGCCUCCCUCUGCUCUCCUUCCCAUGACACCCCAGAAAUAAGCAGUGGGGACUCAGGGCACCCGCCUGGAGGGAAGGCUUGGUGAGCCCUGGGCACCGUUCUCCCCGACUCUGGACAGCAGGGCUGGCCUCGGCUGACCUGUGUGCUCCUGUUUCUCCCUGGGACGUCCUGGCCAUGGAGGCCACUGCCCGGGGGACAGGCCUGAGAGGGUGAGCCCUGCUGUGGGCCGUCCUGGGGCUCCCAGUGGCUCCUGGGCCUCAGGGUCCACCCCACCAGAGAUCCGACGGCCAGGCUGCCCCACAUUGGGGUGCCAGUGUCCUGCUUUCUCAUUGGCAGGUGCAGGAUCUGGGGUACUGAGGAGGCCGGGUGGGGUGUGGCUGUCAGGGUACUUCACCCGUCCCAGGAAACAGAGGCCUCUGUCACCGUGUCCCUGGGUGGCGCCAGGUGGGCAGUACCCCGUGAGGAGCAGAGUGCCCACUCCCACUGCUGCCUGAGCACCUAGGCAGGAAGAACGCACCAGGGUGAAUUCGAGGAGAUGCCCGUCCAGGGGAGCUGCUUAGGAGCCGGGGAGGGCGGGUAAGAAAUGGUGGCUCUCGAGGGCAGCCAGUCUGGGCACGCGGAGGGCCAGGGACGCCCAGUGCUGAUGGCUGGCACCGCCUGUGCUCUCUCCUCUGCCGCCCGCGUCCUGGAGCCCUGCAGCUGUCCUCGCCCGCACACGUGGAAGGAGGCCCCGUGCCUCACUCUGCUCAGGCUUCCGGACGGAGGCCCUGGUUCUGCGGGCUGUGACUCGGCUCUGUCCACUGGGCCCUCACUCGGCCGACGCUCUGGUGGCUCCUGGGUCCCCUGGGUGGGGGUGUGCUGUCUGUCCUCCUCCCGGGGAAGGCUUCCCCUCCCCUCCCAGAACUGCUCCUGGGGACCAGGCCCUCAGUGCAUGGCGCUGGCUCGGCCAUCCUAACGCGGCAGCCGAGAGACCCUGCCCCACCACUCGAGCCCUGAGCCUGGGCCUCCCCCCGCUGUCUGCUCUCUGGGCCUGCAGCUGUUGAAGGCUUUGGCACAGUGGGCCAGGCCUGGAAGGCCCUCAGAACACCAGGCCUCAGCACUGGUGCAGUACAUGCCCUACUCCUCGGCACAUAGCACUGCAUGGUCUUGCUGAGCCCUGAGCAUUUGGGGUAAGGAUGAGAUCGUAUUCAAAGCAAGUAAUUUGCUAGUAAGUGUAACUAUGGACUUUGUUUUAUUUAGUGUUUCUAGAACUUAUUUGAAUGUAGAUGAUUUUUCUUCUCACAAAAUCCCUGUGUAAUUUGGAAGAUGAUGCAAAAUAAAAAGUGAAGU